AAUGAUAUGAGAUGUUCAGAAGAAUCAAAUUAAGAGGUAAUAUGCUGAAAUAAUGAAAAAAGGGCCAUAAUGUGCUUAAAAUAGUUGUUGGUAAGAGAGCUUAGAGAAGUUAAUGAAAGAUAGAAAGCUAAAAAAAAAAGUAGCAGAAAAAAAAGUGUCAUGUUCUUAUGUGGAUACAGAAGGAUUGAAAGUAUUUAGUAAAGUUAAUUAAGAAAGGACGGAAAGCUAGAAAAGGACGAAAACAAGGAAGUAUCAUGUGCUUAAGUGGCUUCAGAAUGGUUUGAGGUGCUUAGAAAAGGAAAUUUAAAAAGGAUAGAGAGCUUGAAAAUGAAAGGAAUUAAUAAACUAGGGAUAGAAAGUUUAAAAGGGCAAAAAAAUAAACUAAUAUGCUUCAAAUGGAUUCUGGGUAAGAUUUUGAGUGCUUAGGAAAGGUGAUUAGGAAAGGACAAAGAAUUUAAAAGGACAGAAACUAUGGGAUAAUGUGCUCAGAGAUAUUGGGUGCUUAGAAAAGUUAAUUAAUAAAGGAUGGAAGGCUACAAAGGGUGAAAACAAGGUAUCAUGUGCUUAAGUGGCUUCAGAAUGGUUUGAGGUGCUUAGAAAAGGAAAUUUAAAAAGGAAAGAGAGCUUGAAAAUGAAAGGAAUUAAUCAACUAGGGAUAGAAAGUUUAAAAGGGCAAAAAAAUAAACUAAUAUGCUUCAAAUGGAUUCUGGGUUAGAAAUGUUAAGUCUCCCUCUUCCUUACUUUCCCUUCCCUUCCUUUCCAUCUCCACCCUUCCGUUACCUUAUCUUCCUUUCCUCUCCAUUGCUUUCCCUUUCCUUCCCUCACCUCCCUUUCCCUUUCCUUCCCUCCUUCCUCUCCCUUCCUUUCCCUUUCCUUCCCUCACCUCCCUUUCCCUUUCCUUCCCUCCUUCCUCUCCCUUCCUUUCCCUUUCCUUACCUUACCUCCCCUCCCUUUCCCUUACCUGACUUAAUAUGCUUCAAAUGGCUCUAGGUAAGAUUUUGAGUGCUUAGGAAAGGUGAUUAGGAAAGGACAGAGAAUUUAAAAGGACAGAAACUAUGGUAUAAUGUGCUCAGAGAUAUUAGGUGCUUAGAAAAGUUAAUUAAGAAAGGAUAGAAGGCUACAAAGGGUGAAAACAAGGUAUCAUGUGCUUAAGUGGCUUCAGAAUGGUUUGAGGUGCUUAGAAACGAAAUCAAAAAGGAUAGAAUGGUUUAGUCCCCCCUUCCUUACCUUACCUUCCCUUCCUUUCCAUCUCCACCUUUCCCUUACCUUACCUUAUCUUCCCUUCCUCUCCCUUCCUUUCCCUUCCCUUCCUUUUCAAUCUCCACCCCUCCUUUACCUUACCUUGCAUUACCUUACCUUAUCUUCCCUUCCUUUCCCUUUCCUUCCCUCACCUCCCCUCCCAUUCCCUUCCCUUUUCUCUUCCUUUCCUUACCUCAUCUCACCUCACCUUCCCUUUCCUUCCCUUCCCUUCUCUUCCUUUCCCUUACCUAAACUAAUAUGCUUCAAAUGGCUCUAGGUAAGAUAUCGAGUGCUUAGGAAACUUGAUUAUGAAACAACAUGGAGAAUAUAAAAGAAUAAAACCAUGAUAUAAUGUGCUUAGAGAUACUGGGUGCUGAGAAAAGGUUAUUAAGAAAGGAUAGGAAGCUGAAAAAUAGCAAAAAUAUGGUGUUGUGUGCUUAAGGGAGUCUAAGAUUGCCAUAAGUACUAAGAAAAGGUUAUUAAGAAAGGAUAGGAAGCUGAAAAAUAGCAAAAAUAUGGUGUUACAUUCUUAAGGGAGUCUAAGAUUGCCAUAAGUGCUGAGAAAGGGUGAUUAAGAAAGGAUAGGAAGCUGAAAAAUAGCAAAAAUAUGGUCUUGUGUUCUUAAGGGAGUCUAAGAUUGCCAUAAGUGCUGAGAAAAGGUUAUUAAGAAAGGAUAGACAGCUGAAAAAGAGCAAAAAUAUGGUGUUGUGUGCUUAAGGGAGUCUAAGAUUGCCAUAAGUGCUGAGAAAAGGUUAUUAAGAAAGGAUAGGAAGCUGAAAAAUAGCAAAAAUAUGGUGUUACGUUCUUAAGGGAGUCUAAGAUUGCCAUAAGUGCUGAGAAAGGGUGAUUAAGAAAGGAUAGGAAGCUGAAAAAUAGCAAAAAUAUGGUGUUACGUUCUUAAGGGAGUCUAAGAUUGCCAUAAGUGCUGAGAAAGGGUGAUUAAGAAAGGAUAGGAAGCUGAAAAAUAGCAAAAAUAUGGUGUUGUGUGCUUAAGGGAGUCUAAGAUUGCCAUAAGUGCUGAGAAAGGGUGAUUAAGAAAGGAUAGGAAGCUGAAAAAGAGCAAAAAUAUGAUGUGUUCUUAAGGGAGUCUAAGAUUGCCAUAAGUGCUGAGAAAGGGUGAUUAAGAAAGGAUAGGAAGCUGAAAAGGAGCAAAAAUGGGAGUCUAAGAUUGCCAUAAGUGUAAGGAAAGGAUAGGAAGAUGAAAAAGAGCUAGAAUAUGGUGUUACAUUCUUAAGGGAGUCUAAGAUUGCCUAAGUGCUGA